rnacentral:tRNA from 1 species
GGUUAUGGCUCAGCGGUAGAGCUCUCGCCUUGCACAUGCAAGGCCCUGAGUUUGAUCCUCAGCACCA